AGAUUGAACUGAAGAGUUUGAUCAUGGCUCAGAUUGAACGCUGGCGGCAGGCUUAACACAUGCAAGUCGAGCGGUAACAGAGAUAGCUUGCUAUCUGCUGACGAGCGGCGGACGGGUGAGUAACGCGUAGAAAACUGC
rnacentral:rRNA from 2 species